AACGAACGCUGGCGGCAUGCCUAACACAUGCAAGUCGAACGAGACCUUCGGGUCUAGUGGCGCACGGGUGCGUAACGCGUUGGAACCUGCCCUUAGGUUCGGAAUAACUCCCCGAAAGGGGUGCUAAUACCGGAUAAUGUCUUCGGACCAAAGAUUUAUCGCCUUUGGAUGGGCCCGCGUUGGAUUAGCUAGUUGGUAGGGUAAAAGCCUACCAAGGCGACGAUCCAUAGCUGGUCUGAGAGGAUGAUCAGCCACACUGGGACUGAGACACGGCCCAGACUACUACGGGAGGCAGCAGUGGGGAAUAUUGGAAAAUGGGCGAAAGCCUGAUCCAGCAAUGCCGCGUGAGUGAUGAAGGCCUUAGGGUUGUAAAGCUCUUUUACCCGGGAUGAUAAUGACAGUACCGGGAGAAUAAGCUCCGGCUAACUCCGUG
rnacentral:rRNA from 1 species